AGCAGUGCUUGAGCUGUAGUUAUCGGGUUUUCCUGGCUCUUGCUGGAACAAGGACUUCAUUCCCUGUUCCUGAAAUGGGCCUUUCCUGUGCCGAUCCUCUCCUGGUUCAUACAGCCCAUGUACAAACAGUCUGCUUCUCAGGAUGAAAGCAACUCAGUCAACCAGUAAUUCACCCCAAAAGAAAGAGCAGAAUACAGGUCGAAUUGGGGCCAACAUGGUGGAGAAGUAGGGGAUUCAUACCUCUUCCGUCUCUCAAAGAAGUGCUGAAGCCAAAGGACUUUGAACCCCUGAGUCUGGGAGGAAAAGAGACAGAAUCUACCAGGAAUAAAAUGGGUCAACUGGAGAAAAGAUAGGAGUACUCCAAGGAACCAAUCAAAGCACACCUGCUGGAGGGUCCAAAAUAUCACUACAGGUAGGAUAAUAAAAUAACCAAAGUCACAACAGAGAGCAAGUAACAAUCUCCAAAAAAACACCUCCUGAGGGGCCAGGCCCUGGAGAGUUUUUGACCCCCUUUUAAUAUAGCAGUGUUCGCAGGUGCAGAAAAUGCUACAAACUUUUAAAAUGCAUAAGGGACAGAACACUAGACAAAAUGAUGAAACGGAAGAAUUCUCAAAAGAAAUUUGAGGAAGUAGCGACAGCUAACAAAUUGAUCAAAACCUACUUAAGCAUUAUAACUGAACAAGAAUUUAGAAUAAUAGUUAUAAAAUUAAUUUCUGGCUUGAAAGAAGCAUAGAGGACAGCAGAAUCUAUUGCUACAGAGAUCAAGGGACUAAAAAAUAGUCAUGAUGAAUUUAAAAAUGCUAUAAAUGUGGUACAAAGUAAAAUGGAGGUAGCCAUAGCACGGAUUGAAGAGGCAGAGGGGAGAAUAUGUGAAUUAGAAGAUAAAAUUAUGGAAAAAGAGGAAGCUGAGAAAAAGAGAGGUAAAAAAAUCCAGGAGUAUGAGGGGAGAAUUAGAAAACUAAGUGAUGCAAUCAAACGGAACAAUAUCCAUAAGAAUUCCAGAAGAAAAAGAGAGAGAAAGGGGCUGAAAGUAUAUUUGAACAAAUCAUAGCUGAGAACUUCCCUGAUCUGGGGAAGGAAGAAGACAUUGAAAUCCAAGUCACACAGAGCUCCCUUCAGAUGUAACUUGAAUUGAUCUUCUGCACCACAUAUCAUAGUGAAACUGGAAAAAUACAAGGAUAAAGAGAGAAUUCUGAAAGCAGCUAGGGAUAAACGGGCCUUAACAUACAAAGGUAGACACAUAAGGGUAGUGGCAGACCUAUCUACUGAAACUUGGCAGGCCAGAAAGAAAUGGCAGGAAAUCUUCAAUGUGAUGAACAGAAAAAAAUAUGCAGCUGAGAAUCCUUUAUCCAGCAAGUCUGUCAUUCAGAAUAGAAGGAGAGAUAAAGGUUUUCCAAAACAAACAAAAACUGAAGGAAUUCAUCGCCACUAAACCAGCCCUACAAGAGAUCCUAAGGGAGACUCUGUGAGUGAAAUGUUGCAAGGACCACAAAGUACCAGAGACAUCACUACAAGCAUGAAACCUACAGAUAACACAAUGACUCUGAAUUCAUAUCUUUCAGUAACAACACAGAAUAUAACUGGACGAAAUGUGCCAAUCAAAGGAAAUAGGGUAUCAGGUUGGAUAAAAAGCAAGACCCAUCUAUUUGCUGUCUACAAGAGACUCAUUUUAGACCUGAGGACACCUUCAGAUUGAAAGUGAGGGGAUGGAGAAUUAUCUAUCAUACUACUGGAAGCCAAAAGAAAGCUGGGAUAGCCAUACUUAUAUCAGACAAACUAGACUUUAGAUUGAAGGCUGUAACAAGAGAUGAAGAAGGGCAUUAUAUAAUAAUUACAGGGUCUAUCCAUCAGGAAGAGCUAACAAUUAUAAAUGUCUAGGCGCCGAAUAUGGGAGCCCCCAAAUAUAUAAAACAAUUAAUCACAAACAUAAGCAACCUUAUUGAUGAGAAUGUGGUAAUUGCAGGGGACCUUAAUACUCUACUUAAACAAUGGAUAGAUCAUCUAGACACAGGAUCAAUAAACAAGGGCCCUGAAUGAUACAUUGGAACAGAUGGACUUGACAGAUAUAUUUAGAACUCUGCAUCCCAAAGCAACAGAAUAUACUUUCUUCUCAAGUGCACACAGAACAUUCUACAAGGUAUAUCACAUACUGGGUCACAAAACAGCCCUCAAUAAAUAUAAAAGAUUUGAGAUCAUACCAUGCACAAUUUCAGGUCACAAUACUAUGUAGCUUGAAGUCAAACACAGGAAAAAGUCUGGAAAACCUCCAAAAGCAUGGAGGUUAAGAACAUCCUACUAAAGAAUGAAUGGGCCAACCAGGCAAUUAGAGAAGAAAUUUAAAAAUAUAUGGAAAAAAAUGAAACUGAAAAUACAACAAUCCAAAUGCUUUGGGAUGCAGCAAAGGCAGUCCUGAGAAGGGGUUGCAAUACAUUGCAAUCCAGGCCUAUCUCAAGAAAUAAGAAAAACCCCAAAUACAAAAUCUAACAGCACACCUAAAGGAAAUGGAAGCAGAGCAGCAAAGACACCCCAAGCCCAGCAGAAGAAGAGAAAUAAAAAAGAUCAGAGCAGAAAUAAACAAUAUAGAAUCCAAAAAAAAAGUAGAGCAGGUCAAUGAAACCAAGAGUUGGUUUUUUGAAACAAUAAAAAAAAUUGAUAAACCUCUAGCCAGGCUUCUCAAAAAGAAAAAAGAGAAGACGCAAAUAAAUAAAAUCACGAAUGAAAAUGGAAUUAUUACAUCCAAUCCCUUAGAAAUACAAGGAAUUAUCAGGCAAUACUAUGAAAAAUUAUAUGCCAACAAACUGGACAAGCUAGAAGAAAUGGACAAAUUCCUAAACCCCCACACACUACCAAAACCCAAAUGGGAAAAAAAUAGAAAAUUUGAACGGAUCCAUAACUAGUGAAGAAAUUCAAUCAGUUAUCAAAAAUCUCAACAUAUAAGAGUCCUGGACCAGAUGCCUUCCCUAGGGAAUUCUACCAGACAUUUAAAGUAGAGGUAAUACUUAUUCUUCUCAAGCUGUUCCAAAAAAUAGAAAGGGAAGGAAAACUUCCAGACUCAUUCUAUGAAGCCAGCAUUACUUUGAUUCCCAAACAAGAGACCCAGCAAAAAAAGAGAACUACAGGCCAAUAGCCCUGAUGAAUGCAGGGAUGCAAAAUUUCUCAACAAGAUACUAGCAAAUCAAAUUCAACAACACAUAAAAAGAAUUAUUCACCAUGAUCAAGAGGGAUUCAUUCCUGGGAUGCAGGGCUGGUUCAAUAUUCACAAAUAAAUCAAUGUGAUACAUCACAUUAACAAAAGAAAAGAACCAUAUGAUCCUGUCAACAGAUGCAGAAAAACAUUUGACAAAAUUCAACAUCAUUUCGUAAUAAAAACCUUAGAGAAAGUCGGGAUAGAAAGAAUAUACUUAAACAUCAUAAAAGCCAUUUGUGAAAAACCCACAGCUAAUAUCAUCCUCAAUGGGGAAAAACUGAGAGCUUUCCCCCUGAGAUCAGGAACACGACAGGGAUGUCCACUGUCGCCACUGUUGUUUCACAUAGUGUUGGAAGUUCUAGCAUCAGCAAUCAGACAACAAAAUGAAAUCAAAGGCAUCAAAAUUGGCAAAGAUGAAGUCAAACUUUCACUAUUUGCAGAAGACAUGAUACUCUACAUGGAAAACCUGACAGAUUCCACCAAGUGUCUUCUAGAACUGAUACAUGAAUUGAUCAAAGUUGCAGGGUACAAAAUCAAUGUAUAGAAAUCAGUUGCAUUUUUAUAUACCAAUAAUGAUGCAAGAGAAAGAGAAAUAAAGAAUCUGAUCCCAUUCACAAUUGCACCAACAAUCAUAAAAUCACCUAGGAAUAAACUUAACCAAAGAUGUAAAAGAUCUGUAUGCUGAAAACUACAGAAAGUUUAUGAAGGAAAUUGAAGAAGAUACAAAGAAAUGGAAAAAUAUUCCCUGCUCAUGGAUUGGAAGAAAGAUAUUGUUAAAAUGUCAAUACUCCCAAAAGUAAUCUACACAUUCAAUGCAAUCCCAAUCAAAAUUGCACCAGUAUCUUCUCAAAGCUAGAAAAAGCAAUCCUAAGACUUUUAUGGAACCACAAAAGACCCCAAAUAGCCAAAUUAAUUUUGAAGAAGAAGACCAAAGUGGGAGGCAUCACAAUCCCAGACCUUAGCCUCUACUACAAAGCUGUAGUCACCAAGACAGCAUGGUAUUGGCACAAAAACAGACAAUAGACCAAUAGAAUAAAAUAGAGAUUCCCAGAAUUGAACCUACAAAUGUAUGGCCAACUGAUCUUUGACAAAGCAGGAAGGAGUUUCCAAUAGAAAAAAACAACAGUAUCUUUAACACAUGGUGCUGGGAGAACUGGACAGCAACAUGCAGAAGAAUAAAAGUAGAUCACUUUCUUACACAAUUCACAAAAAUAAACUCGAAAUGGAUAAAGGACCUGAAUGUGAGACAUGAAACCAUCAAAACCUUAGAGGAGAAAGCAGGAAAAAAACCUCUUUGACCUCAGCCUCAGCAAUUUCUUACUCAACACAUCCCCAAAGGCAAGGGAAUUAAAAGCAAAAAUGAACUAUUGGGAUCUCACGAAGAUGAAAAGCUUCUGCAUUGCAAAGGAAACAAUCAACAAAACUAAAAGGAAACCAACGGAAUAGGAAAAGAUAUUUGCAAAUGACAUAUCGGAUAAAGGGUUAGUAUCUAAAAUCUAUGAAGAACUCACCAAACUCCACACCCCAAAAAACAAAUAAUCCAGUGAAGAAAUGGGCAAAAGACAUGAAUAGACACUUUUCUAAAGAAGACAUCCAGAUGGCCAACAGACACACGAAAGAUGCUCAGUGUCGCUCUUCAUCAGGGAAAUACAAAUCAAAACCACACUCACAUACCACCUCACGCUGGUCAGAGGGUCUAAAAUGAACAAAUUAUGAGACUGUAGAUGCUGGAGAGGAGGUGGAGAAAUGGGAACCCUCUUGCACUGUUGGUGGGAAUGCAAACUGUUACAGCCACUCUGGAAAACAGUGUGGGGGUUCCUCAAAAAAUUACAAAUAGAUCUACCCUAUGACCCAGCAAUAGCACUGCUAAGAAUUUACCCAAGGGAUACAGGAGUGCUGAUGCAUAAGGGCACUUGUACCCCAAUGUUUAUAGCAGCACUUUCAACAAUAGCCAAAUUAUGGAAAAAGCCUAAAUGUCCAUCAACUGACGAAUGGAUGAAUAAGAUGUGGUUUAUAUAUACAAUGGAAUACUAUUUGACAAUGAGAAAGAAUGAAAUCUGGCCAUUUUUAGCAACGAGGAUGGAAAUGGAGAGUAUUAUACUAAGUGAAAUAAGUCAGGCAGAGAAAGACAGAUACCAUAUGUUUUCACUCAUAUGUGGAUCCUGAGAAACUUAACAGAAGACCGGGGGGGAGGGGAUGGGGGGAGAAAGUUACAGAGAUGUAGGGAGGCAAAGCAUAAGAGACUCUUAAAUACUGAGAACAAACUGAGGGUUGAUGGGGGGUGGGGGAGAGGGGAAAGUGGGUGAUGGGCAUUGAGGAGGUCACCUGUUGGAAUGAGCACUGGGUGUUGUAUGAAAACCAAUCUGACAAUAAAUUCUAUUUAACAAAAAAAAGGAAGCCUCAAAAAAGAAAAGAAAAGAAAAGAGCAGGAAGAAACAACAGCCAGGGACUUAACUAACAAGGAUACAAGCAAGAUGUCUGAACCAGAAUUUAGAAUCACGAUCAUAAGAAUACUAGCUGGAGUCUAAAAUAGAUUAGAAUCCCUUUCUGCAGAGAUAAAAGAAGUAAAAGCUAGUCAGGAUAAAAAAAAAAUAAAAAAUGCUACAACUGAGCUGCAAUCUCAAAAGGAUGCUAUGGCAGCAAGAAUGGAUGAGGAAUCAUCGAUAUAGAGGAAAAACAUGCAGAAUAAUGAAGAAGAAAAAGAAAGGGAGACUAAGACAGAAGAGCAUGAUUUAAGAAUUAGAGAAAUCUGUGAUUCUUUAAAAAGGAACAACAUCAGAAUCGUAGAGGUCCCAGAAUAUGAAGAGAGAGAAAAAGGGAUAGAAGUGUUAUGUGAGCAAAUCAUAGCAGAAAAGUUUCCCAAACUGGGGAAACACGCAGACAUCAAAAUCCAGGGAGCACAGAGGACUCCUAUUAGACUCAACAAAAACUGACCAUAAACAAGGCAUAUGAUAGUCAAAAUCACAAAAUACUCAGGCAAGGAAAGAAUCAUUAAUGCAGCCAUGGGGAAAAAAGUCCUUAACCUAUAAGGGAAGGCAGAUCAGGUUUGCACCAGACUUAUCCACAGAAACUUCGCAGGCCAGAAAGGAGUGGCAGGAUAUGUUCAAUGUGCUGAAUCAGAAAAAUAUGCAGCCAAGAAUUUUUUAUCCAGCAUGUCUGCUAUUCAAAACAGUAGGACAGAUUAAAAGUUUCACAGACAAACAAAAAUUGAAGGAGUUCAUAACUACUAAAUCAUCCCUGCAAGUAAUUUUAAGGGGGACUUUCUACAUAAAUAAAUAAAUAAAUAAAUACCAAAAGCAAUAAAUACUAGUAAGGACCAGAGAACACUGCCAGAAACUCCAACUCUACAAGUAAGAUAAUGGCAAAAAAUUCAUAUCUUUCAGUACUCUAAACGUCAAUGGACUAAAUGCUCCAAUCAAAAGACAUAAGGUAACAGAAUGGAUAAGAAAACAAAAUCCAUCUAUAUGACAUUUACAAGAGACCCACUGUAGAAGUAAAGACACCUUCAGAUUAAAAGUGAGGGGAUGCUAUGCUCAUGCUAAUGGCCAACAAAAGAAAGCUGGAGUAGCCAUAUUUAUAUCAGACCAUCUAGA